rnacentral:rRNA from 1 species
UCUUUAGUUUUUAAUUUAAGAUCGGGCCUGCCCAUUGAUUAAUAAAUUAAAAGGCUGCGGUAUUUUAACUGUACGAAGGUAGCAUAAUCACUUGUCUUUUAAUUGGAGGCUAGAAUGAAUGGUUUGAUGAAAAAUAAGCUUUCUUUUUUCAAUUAUAAUUGAACUUAAUUUUUUAGUUAAAAAGCUAAAAUUUUUUUAUAGGACGAGAAGACCCUAUAGAAGUUUACUUAAUUARUAAUUUUUUAUUUUAUGUUUUUAAAAUAAUUUUUUAUAAACUUAAGUUUUGUUGGGGUGACAUUAAAAUUAAUUUAACUUUUAAUUAUUUUUUCAUUAAUUAGUGUUUUUUUGAUCCAAAAUUUUUGAUUAUAAGUUUAACUUACCUUAGGGAUAACAGCGUAAUUUUUUCGGAGAGAUCAUAUU